UUGAUGGGCAAAAAAAUAUUCAAUCAAUUUUAGAAUAAGGCUGUAAUGUAACUCAAUGUGGAAAAGUCAAGUGAAUCGUUUCCGAAUGCACUGUAUGGGAGAGUUUUUGCUUGCGUCUGUCGGGUGUGAUAUGUUGUCGCGCUUGCUAAAGCCCCCUAAGAUCUAUGGGCUCUGGGCUGGGUUUCUACUCAGCUAACAUAUGGAAUUAUUUUAAGAAGGUCAUAUCAAGGAUCAUUUAGCUAUUAGAUUUUACAUUUUAGGGCCUCUGUAAGUAUAAAACUGAAUAUUUUCCAAUUAUUUGAUUAGACGUUGAAUUUGGCCUUACCGCUAUUAGCCCACAGAAACACAUUGAAUAACAUAUUUAUAUAUGGCAAAACAGAAGCUUGUGGGGAUCGUAGAGCAUAACUGAGUUUUGUAGGCCAAACUGUUCAGACGCUACAUACAUUUCCAUGAGAAGACCGACUUUUCUCCUGGUCCACCGCAGAUGCGGAAGACGACAUUGGCCGAUGCAGUGGACUGAGACGCAGCCCAUGCAAAAAACAGAUAUUUCUAGCUUAAACAGACAGAUCCGGAUGGGGAUUUUUUUAUCAUGCUAAUUCGAUUUCCAUGGGGAUGUGGAGAUCAAUAAAUACCAGAGGAAAGUGGAGAGCACACCUUGAGUUUUGUGCCCGACCUGCUUUUUUUGUGAAUCUGAUAGGUCAAGACACGCAAACAGCCUGCAGCAGCACUCCAAUGUGAAGGACUGAGAAAUUGUGCAUGAGUUGAUAAAUCAUGAGGUAAAUCGGUAAAAAAAAACAGCACUUUGCAUUGACAUAUUUUAGUAAAAUAAUUUGAAAAGUGCUGUGGCAAAUGCCUCCUCACGUUUUCUAGCGUCUGUAUUGAGAACAUUCUCUCUGAGUUAAAAUAGUUUUUUUUUGCAGGGGAGACAAGAUUGAAAAGGAAAGAAUAUGUCCUCAUUCCUCUGGAAAAGCCACAAAACUAAUGUCUAUGCACCCUCGUCCAAUUCAGAUGUUCUAUUCAUUUCAUAACCGUGCCUUUGCCACCCGUUUAAUUCAACAGUAACAACAGAAGAUGAGAAAGAACCCCAAGUGCGUUACACUGACAGCAGAUACAUGUCCUCUCUAAAUAUAUAUACUGUAGGUUUUAAUCUGUACCACCACCUGUCCAUAGGAUAAAUUGGUGACUGCUCAGUGAGGUUUCCAAUAUUGCUGCUGCAAUUUAGAUAUGCCCCUCAUGAGUGAAAUGUAAUUAUCAUUUGUUGUACAAAGGCCCAUGUUUUCCCCCCACAUCUCAGUCAAUUACACACACAGACAAGGAAACUCAUUUCACACUGCACAAGCUCAAUGUAAAUAGAUGUACUGUACAGCGCACAAAUGAGAACGUUGGAUGAGUGUGAUUGCAUAAGCACUGUUCUUAUACACACAAUGUUGAGAACAUGCUGGAACAGGAACCUUUUGAGAGCUCCUGCGGUCAUACUGGGGAUUGUAUUGAUUUUAAUUUGCAACUGAAUGAAGUGCUCAAAAAGAGGACAGAAUCGUUCCAGAUAAUUAGCGAGCCCUCGAGGUGUUAUGGGAGGUAGAGAGGAGCUCGCUGAGAAGAGGAUGAAAGAACAAUCUCUAACACUUCCCAUGUACAAGCUGUAUAGUCCCUGUUUUUAUACGCAGUGUAUUGUAUAACUUGCUAUCACCAUUCAUAAGACAUCAUCUGGGUCUCCUAUAACUGCCUGUAUAUGUGCAUAAUUGUUUUAAAGGCAAGAAGGCAGGCGGUUCAUGAAGUGUUAUUGACACAUCAGAAUUUUAUUUUAUUUCAGCAGAAAUAAAUAAAUUACUUAGAAAACGUUUUUAUCCAAAUGGACUUACAGUACAGCGAGUGCAUACAUUUUUUGUAUGUUAAACCCACAACCGUGUGUCACGUUCUGACCUUACUUCGUUUGUUUUUGUCUUUGUUUUAGUAUGGUCAGGGCGUGAGUUGGGGUGGGCAGUCUAUGUUUGUUUUUCUAUGUUGGCUUUUGAGUUCGGCCUAGUAUGGUUCUCAAUCAGAGGCAGCUGUCAAUUGUUGUCCCUGAUUGAGAAUCAUACUUUGGUAGCCUUGGUUUCACUUUUGGUUUGUGGGUGUUAGUUUCCGUGUGAGUGUUCGGGCCACACGGUACUGUUUCGUUUUGUUCACAUUGUUUAUUGUUUUGUUCCAGUGUUCAGUUUGUUUAUUAAAAAGACAUGAACACUUACCACACUGCACCUUGGUUCUCCUCUCCUUCCCCAGACGACAAGCGUUACAGAUUUACUCCCAUGUACACCUGUCUAACGGCUGGUCCGCCCCUAUAUAUAGACCCCAUGGCCGCGACACACGUUCUCUGUCAUUUUCUCGGCAGACGUCCAUAUGGUUUGAGGUACAAACUUUCUGAAGAUCGCUUGGUAUGUCACUGAGUGUAAGAGUAUCAUGGUGGGCUUUCCAAUACGUUGAGGCAUCAACUUUGGAGUUCCUUAACAGAGUUACUCCAUCAUAUGGUGCUGUUUUUACUGCUUGGAUAUUAAACCGGCUAGAGGUACAGGGUAAUUUAUCCCUCACCGGGUUCCUAUUCCUCCAAGCGGGUCACGACAUAUGCUCUCCCAGGGCAUCGGACCCCUGCUCCGUGGCCUUGCUGGCUUGGCUAAGCUUAUGGCUUCCCUUUGUGACUGGUGUGAUGGUGGCAUUCCCCCUGGAGAUCCACAUACCUCCUAUAUGCAUUGCCUGUGUUUGAGCCAUGUGGAGAGGGCGGCGGAGCGCCCUACUGGAUGCCUGUUUUGUGUGGUGUUCUCAGAACGCCUGCGCCUGGCGCGAUUGGAGGCCAUGCAUGAGUGGGUCGACCAGGCUCGGGCUCAGGCUGGGGACGAGCUCCCUCCCUCAGGAGUGGUGCGCCAGUGAGCUGUUAGUCCCUCUACAGGGCCAAGUAGCCUUCCCAGGAAGCGUAGCCAGAGCCACCGAAGGCAGAGCCCAUCUGCUGCCAGUCCUGGACGGAGGCAGGAGUCGGACCACUGGGACCACCUUCAAUGGAGGGUGCAUGCCCUGCGUCAGGAGUUUGAGAGCUUCGAUGGCGACAACAGCCAUUCUCUGUUGGCCAGUGACAGGCUGUUCCUGGGGGACUAUGCUAGCACUGUUCACCACCGUGAGCGGGGCUACCAGGCUGACAGGCCAUCAGAAGCUGGCAGCGGGGCUUCAUCGCCCCCAGGGUCUCGAGAGGCUAUGAGGAGCCUACUCACUCGGGUAACCACUACACUGGACAUCAAACUGGUGGACAGUGAUGAUUCUCCAUCUGUCCCCAUCUCGUCUGAGUUCCGUGAGGCCUUGCAGGAGAGCUGGGGCUCUGCCAGGGGGCGCUUCCGACUCUCUCCUGCCCUAGUUGCCAAUCAGUCGCCACUGAAGACACCUGCUCCUUUUCCCUGACCCAAUCACAUCCCCUUUCCCUUGGUUUAAAAACCCAGUCAGUUGUUUUCCCAAACUCUCUUCUCUCUCUCUCCCCUUCUCUUUGUAAGGAGCUAUCUCUCUUUAGUUUGGUGCCUACAUCUCACUUUGUCUGUAAUUAUGUGAGUAUGUAUUGUUGUGGUUCAUGACUGUUUGUUUGUUGGUGGGAAAAAGAGGUACAAAGCCAAGUCGCCCAUGGGCAUACAUUACCCGUAGGAAAACUUUGUCCAAGUACCCUAGUUAGAACUGGGCGGACCACCCACUGUAUUUUAUUGGUUAGUUAGCUGGCAGUGCUUGAGGCAGGUAAGACUAGCUUAGGGGUUUUUGGAUAUUUAUUAUUUCUUUCCUUGGGUCCAGCU